AAAAAUCUUCUUGAGUAAUAAUGGAUUAGAGAAUAAUUAAGGUGAGCCUCAUUUGGAGCGCUGGAUCCAAGACGAGGCAAAGAAUAUGUUUGCAUGUCUAAUCAGAGUUCAGUGCCACAGCUGAAUUCUGGAAUUAUGAGUGAAGAUGAGAUUGGCAGACUGCCACGGCAGAAGAAGGGCCUUUAAUAAGUCAUGCAUUAGGCUAUAAUUAGAUCUCAGCUCAUUUAAAGGAAGGAAGAAUAGAAUAAGAUUCAGUGACAAUUUGAAUGAAUCACUGGCCAGACACGGGUGUCAGUGUGAAAGACUUGUCAGAAGAGCAGGGUCAUUACAUCACCUAUCGCUCUGCGUGCUCGCCACAAAUUAAAAUCCGGCACAAACACAAACUUCACUCUGCUUCUGCUUCCGGAUUUUUCCUCUACUCCAGAUGUGAUUAUUAAAACAGUUCAACAGGAGCUCAGAUUAUUACAGACGUUGGAUGUUGAUCCGUCCUUGUACGUUUUUGAUACUUGUCCGUAAGAUCGUGAGGCAAAAGGAUUGUACUCCAGCUCCGAGCAAGACAGUUCGGGAUCUGCUACGUUUAUAUCAGGUCCGGAAUUUUGGACUGCUUAGGUCAAAGUUAGCCCGACGAGCGUGAAUGAAGCGACUAUCCAAAUAUCAAGCUGUGCAACACAGGUAUUUCAAAGGUCGCCAGUUACUUUAAAGGUACUGAGUGAUAAGAAAAGCUCAUUUUGAUUCAUGAAAAUACACCUGCAAAAUGUAACAGCAUUACAAAAAAAAUAAAUAAAUAAAAAUGUUGCUGCGCAAUCGCAGACUUACCAUGCUAGCAUUGUGAUCGCAAUCACCCUCCAACAUCACCGCGAUGAGUGAUUCAGG